AGAGCGUAGGGCGGAUGCCUAGGCGUAUUCGGACGAGGAAGGGCGCGGAAAGCUGCGAAAAGCCAUGACGAGCCGCAAGCAGGCAUAGACUCAUGGAUACCCGAAUGGGGCAACCCGGUACUGGUAACAGUAUCACUCUUCGGAGAGGAAAACCCGGUGAACUGAAACAUCUAAGUAGCCGGAGGAAAAGAAAUCAAACGAGAUUCCCCAAGUAGCGGCGAGCGAACAGGGAGGAGCCUAAACCGAGAGUCUCCGGACUUUCGGGGUUAUGGAGCCGCAAAAAGUGAAAAAUCCUUAGUCGAACAAUCUGGGAAGGUUGGUCAAAGAGCGUGAGAACCGCGUAGACGAAAAGGAUUUGAGCGGGCGGAAUUCCGGAGUACCACGGGGCACGUGGAACCUUGUGGGAAGUCGGGGGGACCACCCUCCAAGGCUAAAUACUGAAUACGACCGAUAGAGAUAGUACCGUGAGGGAAAGGCGAAAAGAACGGCGGGAGCCGAGUGAAAUAGAACCUGAAACCCUGCGCUUACAAACAGUCGGAGCGCAUUACUAGCGUGACGGCGUGCCUAUUGAAGAAUGAACCGGCGAGUUACUAAGUUUGGCGAGGUUAAGCAGAAAAUGCGGAGCCGAAGCGAAAGCGAGUCUGAAUAGGGCGUUAAGUCAAACUGAGUAGACCCGAAACCACAGUGAUCUAUGCGUGACCAGGUUGAAGCUCGGGUAAAAUCGAGUGGAGGACCCAACCAGUGAGUGUUGAAAAACUUUUGGAUGAGUUGCGUAUAGGGGUGAAAUGCCAAUCGAACGUGGAAAUAGCUGGUUCUCCCCGAAAUGGCUUUAGGGUCAGCCUCAAAUGUGCUUGAAGACGGUAGAGCUCUGAUCGGAUGAGGGAGCGUAAAGCUUACCAAUUCCAGUCAAACUGCGAAUGGCUUUAAGCAAAGUUUGGGAGUGAGACUGCGAGUGAUAAGACCCGUAGUCGAAAGGGAAACAGCCCUGACCGCCCGCUAAGGUCCCAAAUGCUGUGCUAAGUGGUUAAGGAGGUAGUUCCUCAGAAACAACCGGGAUGUUGGCUCAGAAGCAGCCACCAUUAAAAGAGUGCGUAAUAGCUCACCGGUCGAGAGGAACUGCGCCGAAAAUUAACGGGGCUAAAGCACAGAACCGAAGCGACGGGAACAGCAAUGUUUGGUAGGGGAGCGUUCUUAAUCGGACGAAGGUCGACCGGAAGGACGGCUGGACGUUUAAGAAGUGAGAAUGCCGGUAUGAGUAGCGAAAACAUAAGUGAGAAACUUAUGCACCGAAAGCCUAAGGUUUCCCGGGCAACGCUCGUCGCCCCGGGGUUAGUCGGGACCUAAGCGGAGGCGAAGACGCAUACGCGAUGGACAAUCGGCUAAAAUUCCGAUACCAUACUUUUCCGUUCGAGGACGGAGUGACGCAGAAGGAAAUGUGAGCGUGCGAUUGGUUGUGCACGUCGAAGGCGGUAGACUUGUCGGGAGGUAAAUCCCCCGACUUUAAGGUCGAGAACUGAUAGGGUGACAAUCCUUCGGGAGAGUCGAAGUCACAUGUACCACGCUGCCAAGAAAAGCUUCUAACAAGGAAAUGUAUGCCCGUACUAAAACCGACACAGGUAGGCAAGAAGAGAAUUCUAAGGUGCGCGAGAAAACCCUCGUUAAGGAACUCGGCAAAUUGCAUCCGUAACUUAGGAAUAAGGAUGACCUUUGAUUGUGAAGUUUGUACAAACGGAGCAGUUGGAGGUGGCACAGACCAGGCCCAAGCGACUGUUUAGCAUAAACACAGGUGCCUGCCAAAGCGAAAGCUGAUGUAUAGGUGCUGACGCCUGCCCGGUGCCGGAAGGUUAAGAGGAAGUGUGAAAGCUCUGAAUUGAAGCCCCGGUAAACGGCGGCCGUAACUAUAACGGUCCUAAGGUAGCGAAAUUCCUUGUCGGGUAAGUUCCGACCCGCACGAAAGGCGUAACGAUUUGGGCACUGUCUCAACGAGGGACUCGGUGAAAUUGAAGUACCUGUGAAGAUGCAGGUUACCCGCGACUGGACAGAAAGACCCCAUGGAGCUUUACUGCAACUUGGCAUUGACUCCCGGUAUAUGUUGCACAGGAUAGGUGGGAGGCGUCGAUUGACUUCUUGCGGGAAGUCAGGAGCCAACCUUGGGAUACCACCCUUCGUGUGCUGGGAUUCUAACCGUAAGUCUUACUAACUUCGGAACAGUGCCAGGCAGGCAGUUUGACUGGGGCGGUCGCCUCCGAAAAAGCAACGGAGGCGUCCAAAGGUUCCCUCAGAACGGUCGGAAACCGUUCGCAGAGUAUAAAGGCACAAGGGAGCUUGACUGCAAGACAGACACGUCGAGCAGGUGCGAAAGCAGGGCUUAGUGAUCCGGUGGUUGAUUGUGGAAUUGCCAUCGCUCAACGGAUAAAAGCUACCCUGGGGAUAACAGGCUUAUCUCUCCCAAGAGUUCAUAUCGACGGGGAGGUUUGGCACCUCGAUGUCGGCUCAUCACAUCCCGGAGCUGGAGCAGGUUCCAAGGGUUCGGCUGUUCGCCGAUUAAAGUGGUACGUGAGCUGGGUUCAGAACGUCGUGAGACAGUUCGGUCCAUAUCCAUCGCGGGCGUCAGAUAUUUGAGAGGAGCUGCUCCUAGUACGAGAGGACCAGAGUGGACGAACCUACGGUGUAUCUGUUGUCGCGCCAGCGGCAUUGCAGAGUAGCUGCGUUCGGUAAGGAUAAACGCUGAAAGCAUCUAAGCGUGAAACCUCCCUCAAGAUGAGAUAUCUUUUAAGAUCCCUUAUGGAUUAUAAGGUUGAUAGGUCGGGAGUGUAAGUGCGGUAACGUAUUCAGCUGACCGAUACUAAUAUGUCGUUUGCUUUUCUU
rnacentral:rRNA from 1 species